rnacentral:lncRNA from 1 species
CCCUCUUCUUUGAUUGGGAGCUCCAUAUGAGUAUAACCUUCAUAAGGCAAGUGCAAGAUUUGUCCCAAAUACAAUGGAUCAAGAACAAUAUUAACACCUUUCACUAAAGACUUUACUGUUCCAUUGUAGUAACUUAAAUUUAAAUAGAACUCUCUGACCAAAUCAACAUAAGUAUUUUUCUUCAAUAGACAGUAAAACU